UCGAUCGAGGGCUCCAAACCACCGCGAACAUACCACACCGUUGCCUCGGCGGGCGGCUCCUGGGAGGAGCCUCUGGCCCCCUGCGGGGGUGCCCGCCGCAGGCCCCAAACCCUGUCGUAUCUAGGCCGCUCCGAGUACCUGCGCAAGCAGUCA
rnacentral:misc_RNA from 1 species